rnacentral:misc_RNA from 1 species
GCCUAUUAUGUUUGAAUGAAGUCAGCAAACCCCUUCCCUUUCCUUCCUUCAUUCAGCCCAUUAGAGCUUAUUAUCUCACAAAGCUACAAAAGGCUAGAAGAAUUUCACAUAGCUAGCUAAUUGUGUAGAGCAUUCCCAGAAGAGUGGGUGAGUUUCAGAUAUGGAUGAUGAUUCUUUUUUUGUAACUUGGGUUUCUAACCGGAAUUCCAUAGCAGUUUUCGACUCUGAACGGGCGGUGCCAGCCCCGGGAUGUCCCGAAUGUCCUUGUUAUUUGGAUUCACCAGCUUGACAAUGAUAAUGGCAAUGACACCAAGGACAAUGAUGAAGAGUAGGGCCAUUAUACACUUAUCAGUCGCAACUUGUCUCCCUAAUUCCUUCACAAGUUUUGA